GACGUAGGGGGCAAGCGUUGUCCGGCAUUACUGGGCGUAAAGAGCUCGUGGGUGGUUUGUCGCGUUGUUCGUGAAAUCUCACGGCUUAACUGUGAGCGUGCGGGCGAUACGGGCAGACUAGAGUACUGCAGGGGAGACUGGAAUUCCUGGUGUAGCGGUGGAAUGCGCAGAUAUCAGGAGGAACACCGGUGGCGAAGGCGGGUCUCUGGGCAGUAACUGACGCUGAGGAGCGAAAGCGUGGGGAGCGAACAGG
rnacentral:rRNA from 1 species